CUACUUCUAGAUUCAUAAAAGUAAAAAUAUGGUUAAAUUUUAUAUGUUUAUUUAUGCUAUGAUUAUUUUUUUUUUCCAUAUUAAUUUCUAUAGCAAAUAGUUGUAAGUAGUUUUUAUCAUCAUUUUUAAAUUCGCUUUCAAAAUUUAGUUUGAUAUACUGGUAUUUCUAUACAAAAUUUAAUAUCAUAUUUUUAUAUUAAUUUAUUGGGUUAAAUAAAUCUUUUGUCCCUACAAAUAUGUCAAAUUUUGGUUUUAGUUCCAAUAAAAAAUUUCAACAAGUUUUAGUUCUCAAAUAUCUUCUUUUACGAUUUUCCAUCCUACUUUUAAGUCAACUCAUCUAUAUAUAGUUUUUGGUUUACAAUGGAGUCAACAAGAAUCGAACUUAAGCCCUCAUUCAUAUUACCCAACUUAGUGGAUUGUCAACUCAUCUAUAUUACUUGAAAUUUUUAUUGUUUACGGCAUUCAUGUUUAGUACAUUGUAUAAACCUCUCUGACGAAAAUUUAAUAUCCCGAUCAAUAUUUCAUAAGUUUUAAUCUCUCCCUCCAAAAUUUAGUUUUUUACAACAUAAUGGAUGAAAUAGAUAUGAAUUUCUAAUUUUUUGGCGCUUAAAAAACUCAUAUUUAAUUCAUCAAAAAUUUAAUAAAUUCUAAAUUAUUUUGGGAAAGAUUUUUUAUAUUAUUAUAAACAUAAAUAUAAAAAUUAAAAACUCAUUCAAAAAUAUGAAAGUAUAUAUAAGUUAACUUAAAAAUAAGAAUCAAAUGUUAUGAAAUAAAAUAUUUGGAAGACAAAAUCAACUUGCUGAAAUUGUUUACAUAGACUAGAAGUAAAAUUUAGGAAUAUUUAUACCGUUCAAAAACUUGUUUAACCGUAAUCUUUAUUAAAAUAAAUUGAUAUUUUAAAUGAUUUUUGUCUAAAUUUGAUAUAUGUAUAAGGAUUCCUAAUAAUUUUUACC
rnacentral:lncRNA from 1 species